UCCUUUUGACUUAAGUUACAAGCAUGUGUGU
rnacentral:piRNA from 1 species